GAUGAAGAACGUAGCGAAAUGCGAUAAGUAAUGUGAAUUGCAGAAUUCAGUGAAUCAUCGAAUCUUUGAACGCACAUUGCGCCCCUUGGUAUUCCGGGGGGCAUGCCUGUUCGAGCGUCAUUAUAACCCCUCAAGCUCAGCUUGGUGUUGGGGCCUGCCAACUGGCAGCCCUUAAAAUCAGUGGCGGCGCCAUCUGGCUCUAAGCGUAGUAAUUUCUCUCGCUAUAGGGUCCCGGUGGAUGCUGGCCAGCAACCCCCAAUUUUCUAUGGUUGACCUCGGAUCAGGUAGGGAUACCCGCUGAACUUAAGCAUAUCAAUAAGCGGAGGA
rnacentral:misc_RNA from 1 species